rnacentral:rRNA from 1 species
GACGAACGCUGGCGGCGUGCCUAAUACAUGCAAGUAGAACGCUGAAGGAGGAGCUUGCUUCUCCGGAUGAGUUGCGAACGGGUGAGUAACGCGUAGGUAACCUGCCUGGUAGCGGGGGAUAACUAUUGGAAACGAUAGCUAAUACCGCAUAAUAGCAGUUAUUGCAUGAUAACUGUUUGAAAGGUGCAAUUGCACCACUACCAGAUGGACCUGCGUUGUAUUAGCUAGUUGGUGGGGUAACGGCUCACCAAGGCGACGAUACAUAGCCGACCUGAGAGGGUGAUCGGCCACACUGGGACUGAGACACGGCCCAGACUCCUACGGGAGGCAGCAGUAGGGAAUCUUCGGCAAUGGACGGAAGUCUGACCGAGCAACGCCGCGUGAGUGAAGAAGGUUUUCGGAUCGUAAAGCUCUGUUGUAAGAGAAGAACGAGUGUGAGAGUGGAAAGUUCACACUGUGACG